rnacentral:rRNA from 1 species
AUGGCCGCCCUCCCUCGCUUGCUCGCGCCGCCCGUCCGCCGCCCAUCCACGUUCUUGGCUGUCUUUUUCGGCCGACCGGCGGCCGCCGAUACGACGUCUUCUGGGCGCUGGGACGCACACCGGGCGUGGUUCCGUUGCUGCUGCCCCAGGUUGUCGAGGAACAGUACUGUCAGGCUGGGCGGACCCCCUUCCUCUGCUCUAAGCCUGCAGGUGCAGUUGGGAUGCAGGCCAUCCGCCCUUUGUCCACCGGUGCCAUUGCUCUGCUCCGUCCUCUGGCCACCGGCGCCGUUGCUCUGCUCCACUGCCGUCAUCGUUUGCCAGGAACCCGAUUUUAUCCACGUCUUCCCCAGGUCAACAGAGCCGCAUUUAGUUCACUGCUUCUGA